GCCCUGCCGUUACCUGGGAGAGCCGGGGAAAGAAUCUCGGAGUCUGAACCUUGAGAAAUUGUGAUGGAGUGGCACCACAGAAGGAUUUAGUCAACAUCUUUCACACAAGAUAACUAAAAAGGGCACAAAGAAUCCACGUAGUUUUAUUUCAAACAAUGAAUCUGUGAUGAACUCUGUGGGGUCCUGUUUUCACUGAGUCUCCGGGACUGGCAGAACACAGG
rnacentral:lncRNA from 1 species